rnacentral:rRNA from 1 species
CAAGUCGAACGAUGAAGCCCAGCUUGCUGGGUGGAUUAGUGGCGAACGGGUGAGUAACACGUGAGUAACCUGCCCUUAACUCUGGGAUAAGCCUGGGAAACUGGGUCUAAUACCGGAUAGGAGCGUCCACCGCAUGGUGGGUGUUGGAAAGAUUUAUCGGUUUUGGAUGGACUCGCGGCCUAUCAGCUUGUUGGUGAGGUAAUGGCUCACCAAGGCGACGACGGGUAGCCGGCCUGAGAGGGUGACCGGCCACACUGGGACUGAGACACGGCCCAGACUCCUACGGGAGGCAGCAGUGGGGAAUAUUGCACAAUGGGCGAAAGCCUGAUGCAGCGACGCCGCGUGAGGGAUGACGGCCUUCGGGUUGUAAACCUCUUUCAGUAGGGAAGAAGCGAAAGUGACGGUACCUGCAGAAGAAGCACCGGCUAACUACGUGCCAGCAGCCGCGGUAAUACGUAGGGUGCGAGCGUUAUCCGGAAUUAUUGGGCGUAAAGAGCUCGUAGGCGGUUUGUCGCGUCUGUCGUGAAAGUCCGGGGCUUAACCCCGGAUCUGCGGUGGGUACGGGCAGACUAGAGUGCAGUAGGGGAGACUGGAAUUCCUGGUGUAGCGGUGGAAUGCGCAGAUAUCAGGAGGAACACCGAUGGCGAAGGCAGGUCUCUGGGCUGUAACUGACGCUGAGGAGCGAAAGCAUGGGGAGCGAACAGGAUUAGAUACCCUGGUAGUCCAUGCCGUAAACGUUGGGCACUAGGUGUGGGGACCAUUCCACGGUUUCCGCGCCGCAGCUAACGCAUUA